rnacentral:rRNA from 1 species
CCUACGGUGGGCAGCAGUGAGGAAUAUUGGUCAAUGGACGAGAGUCUGAACCAGCCAAGUAGCGUGAAGGAUGACUGCCCUAAGGGUUGUAAACUUCUUUUAUAUGGGAAUAAAAUGUUCCACGUGUGGGAUUUUGUAUGUACCAUAUGAAUAAGCAUCGGCUAACUCCGUUCCAACAGCCGCGGUAAUACGGAGGAUACGAGCGUUAUCCGGAUUUAUUGGGUUUAACGGGAGCGUAGGUGGAUUGUUAAGUCAGUUGUGAAAGUUUGCGGCUCAACCGUAAAAUUGCAGUUGAAACUGGCAGUCUUGAGUACAGUAGAGGUGGGCGGAAUUCGUGGUGUAGCGGUGAAAUGCUUAGAUAUCACGAAGAACUCCGAUUGCGAAGGCAGCUCACUGGACUGCAACUGACACUGAGGCUCGAAAGUGUGGGUAUCAAACAGGAGUAGAUACCCCGGUAGUC